CGUUUGAUGAAUUCAUAGUCAAACGAGGCGAACCGGGGGAACUGAAACAUCUCAGUACCCCGAGGAAAAGAAAUCAACCGAGAUUCCCCCAGUAGCGGCGAGCGAACGGGGAGCAGCCCAGAGUCAACAUCAAUAUUUACCGCAGGAGAAGGGUCUGGAAAGGCCAGCAAUAAAGGGUGAUAGCCCCGUAUCUGAAACGGUAAGUGUUGUGAACUCGAAGAGUAGGGCGGGACACGUGUUAUCCUGUCUGAAUAUGGGGGGACCAUCCUCCAAGGCUAAAUACUCCUGACUGACCGAUAGUGAACCAGUACCGUGAGGGAAAGGCGAAAAGAACCCCGGCGAGGGGAGUGAAAUAGAACCUGAAACCGUGUACGUACAAGCAGUGGGAGCACCCGAAAGGGUGUGACUGCGUACCUUUUGUAUAAUGGGUCAGCGACUUAUAUUCUGUAGCAAGGUUAACCGCAUAGGGGAGCCGUAGGGAAACCGAGUCUUAACUGGGCGUUAAGUUGCAGGGUAUAGACCCGAAACCCGGUGAUCUAGCCAUGGGCAGGUUGAAGGUUGGGUAACACUAACUGGAGGACC
rnacentral:rRNA from 1 species